ACCAUGCAAGUCGACGGUGAAGCAGAGCUUGCUCUGUGGAUCAGUGGCGAACGGGUGAGUAACACGUGAGCAAUCUGCCCCUGACUCUGGGAUAACAGUUGGAAACAGCUGCUAAUACCGGAUACGAGCUGCGGCCGCAUGGUCGGCAGCUGGAAAGAAUUUCGGUCAGGGAUGAGCUCGCGGCCUAUCAGCUUGUUGGUGAGGUAAUGGCUCACCAAGGCGUCGACGGGUAGCCGGCCUGAGAGGGUGACCGGCCACACUGGGACUGAGACACGGCCCAGACUCCUACGGGAGGCAGCAGUGGGGAAUAUUGCACAAUGGGCGGAAGCCUGAUGCAGCAACGCCGCGUGAGGGAUGACGGCCUUCGGGUUGUAAACCUCUUUUAGCAGGGAAGAAGCGAAAGUGACGGUACCUGCAGAAAAAGCGCCGGCUAACUACGUGCCAGCAGCCGCGGUAAUACGUAGGGCGCAAGCGUUAUCCGGAAUUAUUGGGCGUAAAGAGCUCGUAGGCGGUUUGUCGCGUCUGCUGUGAAAUCCCGAGGCUCAACCUCGGGCCUGCAGUGGGUACGGGCAGACUAGAGUGCGGUAGGGGAGAUUGGAAUUCCUGGUGUAGCGGUGGAAUGCGCAGAUAUCAGGAGGAACACCGAUGGCGAAGGCAGAUCUCUGGGCCGUAACUGACGCUGAGGAGCGAAAGGGUGGGGAGCAAACAGGCUUAGAUACCCUGGUAGUCCACCCCGUAAACGUUGGGAACUAGUUGUGGGGGUCCAUUCCACGGAUUCCGUGACGCAGCUAACGCAUUAAGUUU
rnacentral:rRNA from 1 species